AGGGGGCCAUCCCGGCUUACCAACCCGAUGCAAACUGCGAAUACCGGAGAAUGUUAUCACGGGAGACACACGGCGGGUGCUAACGUCCGUCGUGAAGAGGGAAACAACCCAGACCGCCAGCUAAGGUCCCAAAGUCAUGGUUAAGUGGGAAACGAUGUGGGAAGGCCCAGACAGCCAGGAUGUUGGCUUAGAAGCAGCCAUCAUUUAAAGAAAGCGUAAUAGCUCACUGGUCGAGUCGGCCUGCGCGGAAGAUGUAACGGGGCUAAACCAU
rnacentral:rRNA from 2 species